rnacentral:misc_RNA from 1 species
GUGAAUCAUCAAAUCUUUGAACGCAAAUUGCACUCUCUUCGGAGAGUAUGCGUGUUUGAGGGUCAGUAUUAAUAUAAAUCGGUGUGUUGCUUCUUUGUGACGCUCCGGGGUUUGGGUCAUCUUGAUUUCCCUUAGGUUUUAAGAGGCGUGAAAUUGACUUUUUUCGCGCAUUUUAGAUGUACAUAAAUUCUUUUUUUUAUUCUUCUGUCUUAAUGCUCAAAAUCCUAUUAGAUGCGACUAUAUCGUGUGGUUUCGUGUCUAUAACUUU